UUCCACUCAUGCUUUUGUUUCGAACUUCUGCUUUCAACAAACUGAAUCCGUAACCUCAGGAGGACGUGAAGGAAAGUACAUAAAUGCAGUCAAGUUAGGAGAACUGCAAUGGCAAUCCUUAUGCCUUGUUGACAGAAUUUGAUAUCUGUUCAUGCAUCUGUCACUGCCUUGUCUAAUGCCGUUUUGCUGAGGAUCUCAGAAUACUUCAAAAACCUGAACUAAGCUAUGCACAUCAACCAUUACUAGAGUGCCUAUUAUGCUGAUGUAGAAGCUGAGGGUGAAAGAAGGUGAAAAAGAUGUCCACAAUGACUACAUAAGGAGUCAUGAUUUUUUUCAGGGUGGUGGGAAGAGCCUGCUCAUGCAUUCUCAUGGGAACACACCAAAAUCUUCCGAGUUUGGGAAGAGGCCCCUUUUCCUCCUCCGAUGUAUCUAGACCAGAUGUAGCACAGGGACCUCGUGGCGCAAAAGGAGCUCUCUCCGGCUGACGCAAAGCUGCUGCGGGUUUCCAUUGCUGGCAAGCUCUGCUACAACAGAGGGAGUUCAGUCACUUACAGCACCCAGCAGGUACAUCAUCAAAAUCAGUGUAUUGAAAUUGAAUGCUACAGAGAAGGUUGCCAGAAUGAUCAGAAGUAUGAUCUAGCAGCCACAAGAGGAAAGACUGAAUCCACUAGAACUGCUACAUCCCUGCCUGGAAAAGACUGAAAGGGUGAAGAACACAGAAUGAAGGUACACUCACUGCAACAGUGAAACAAGAAAUAUAAACUAAAGAAAAGUAAGAAAUUCAGCUACAAGCUAUACCUACCUGCCUGCCUCUUUAAGAAGAGCUGUAGUAAUAAAGUCUUUCUGAAGACACAGCUGUAGCAAACUAGCAAACAGGCAGUCACCUGAGACCAUGGAGCAGCCAGAGUAACACUUCCAGAUCAGAAUCUCGCAUAGUGAGGGACUGUAGAGACUUGCAGUGAGGAUGAGGAAAUACAGCUCCUGCAAUUUGCAUCCAGACAUCAGGAAGCCAUGCAUUACAAGAACAUUUCAUCUUCUGCCAGGGAUGAACACACAGAAAUCGACAGCCAAGAGUGACCUUUCUAUGAUUGAGUCUUUGAGGGCUCUGAAAAUGUAACCUGUGUUUGGGCCUGAAGGUCUUUGUUUUACUUCAAAUGGACUGUUGGAGAAGGAUGAGUAGAAAAAUUGGACCUGGGACUCUUGAGCUCUUACCUCUGCCUUGGGAACAGGGAUGGUGCAAGGUGCUGAGCCGGGGACCCAGGAGCCUGCAGGCCUUGCCCUGCCAAAGGAGGGCAGAAUUCGAUCUUCAUAGUUGUGAAGGGCUGACAGCACUAAAAGUAGAGUGGAGAGAAAAAGUACCAGGGCUACUUUGAUUUUUUGGAUCUGGAGCCAAAACAAAAUUCUUCCGUUCUCACCUCAUCCUGACCUGCAGAGUUCAUCCUUCCUGGAUUUCACAGGAGCUAGUGUUAUCUCUGCUUUUCUGGCCAAGGUUACAUUAGGUGGCUUCUGUUGUCAUAGUGGAGGAGAUAGAUCCAUGUAUGGUCAAACAAGGCUGACUUUCAAGGGUUAAAACACAGAAACUUUGGAUUCCUUAAUGACUUUCAGUAUGACUGUAGACCUCUGAUUUAACUUCUCCAUGCACUGAUCUCCCGAGUGUUUCAAGGGAAGGGUGUUCCUGCAUCACCUAUUGGAUGAAACAUCCUUUGAUACUGUUCAGAAAUCUUAGAAGCUGGAACACUUUGCUGACAGCUUUCCACAGAUUUCUGCCACAGAUUCUGAUUUAUAUUGCGUUGCUUAACCUGGAUGGAUUUCCCAGACUGCUCCCAACCGUGUGCGUGGCUGAGAUCCCUGCGAGAAGUCUCUGGUGGGAAGCUCGGGGCAGCUCUGAGCCCAGCCCGCUCUGGAUGGCACCUGCCUCAGCAUGGGAGACAGAUGUGAAUACAAACCGCUGCUUCUCCACAUCACUUACAUUUAACUUCCUUCCUGUUGAGAACAGGCUUAAUGAUGGUACUUUGAAGUCAGUAUUGCCCCAUCCUGCAAGACACUCCAUGCUUCACAACAGGUUUUCAGCAUCCCGAAUAUCAAGUAAGAUGAAUGGGGAAAAGGGCGUUCAGGAUGUCCUCAGACCCGGGCUGGGGAGAGCCGCAUCCUCCAUGCUCCGAGAGAGCGAACGCUGGCGCAGGAGGUGUGCGGGAUGCGGGCUCGUCAUCGGGACGGGCUCCCUGGCCUCUCCUCCUGCCAAUAAACCUUGAUGCAGGGGCUGGAGAAGCUCCUGUCAGUCCACUCAGCUCCAAAACCUGCUGCAGGACAACAAAACCCAGGGUCACAAGGCGAGAGAGGUAUUCAUCUAAUGCCGCAAGAAAAAGGCCUCGUUUUGUGAACAUGUUUUUUCAAUUUUUCUGCUAACCUUCUUCCCUUCUGUCUGUCUUCCCUGCAACGCACCCCCUGGCCCUUCACCUCCAUUCCCCAGCUGAGCCUUUCUGGAAUAUACUCUAUAUUUGUCUCUUGCUUCCCUGAACACCCAUUAUUAUGUAGAAUAAUAAUGCAGGAGCUCUGCUCGGCACCUCUGCUCAGUGGCUCCAAGUGGGUUGAAUUGUAGCCAGCGGCAGGGGGUGAUAAAUGUAGCGUAAGAUGCCUUUUCCACAGCAAACUGCAAAUUGCCUCGGCAGCACGGCCCACAAAAGGUUCCCGCGGAGCAAAUUUAUCUCCCAUUGUCGGCCCAGGGAGGAGAGCCGAGAGGACCAGGCGUUCUAUUUUUAAAAAGUCACAUUUGAUCUUGUUCAGGCUCAGAGUCCGGAGUAUUUUAAAGGACUUUUCACGGAAGAUGCAGGCCUGAGAAUGCUGCACAGAUAAAGGGAUUUAUUUUUAACAGCAGCCAGGGUUCAUGACCAUGUAAGCAUUUCAAUUUUAAGCCACUCAGUUUGAAUAAUAUAUUUUGCCAAAGUGAGUGUUAUGUCAUCUAAUAUCUUAUGGGUGGAAGGAGGGAUGGUGACUGGGGAAGGGGGAGAACAAGACCGUUAGAGAGAAAUUACCCUCUAAAGAUUAUCAUAUGCCCACUAAAAAAGGGAGGGGGGUGGAGAGAUACCACAGAGUUUAUCUACCCAUUCAGGAGUUCAUACUACACUUCCUCCCAUAUGGUUCAGCCCUGAGAUAGCAGCGUGAUGGACACUGUAGAAGAAUGUGAGGUGACUGAUAUAUAGUUGGAAACCUAGGGUGAUGGAUGAUAGAAAAAGAGAGGGGAACGUUUGGUGGUUGAUUGAUAGCAGCACCGCAGCUGAAGUAUCCACAAUUAAUGGUAUGAGUCACCCUGAUAUAUUAUAAUGUUAAAUACCUUUGCAUUUGAUGCUCACUUGUCAUGUUUCUACUAUACUGUCCUUCAAAUGCCAGGUCAUAAAUCAGAGGUGGCUAUUUAGUAUGAGUUUGCUGAACUUCUCCGCAGAUGGCCAGUGCUGAGGAGCGCGGGGCGACCGGGGCGGAGGAGCCCUCCGCGCCUCGCCUGAGCAUCCCCUGCUGCCGGCCUGCCUUGGGAUCCUCGCCUGCCUCUCAGCUGGGAUGCCUGAAUUUAUGAGUGUGUUUCCAGGAAUAUAUGCUCUGCUGCCCUUAAUUGUAUCCUUCAUUAGCACGCUAGAGUUAUUAUUUGCUGUAUAUUAAUUGUUAGUGUGCUCUGCGGUCGAAGCUCUGCUUUGCUGAGGAAGGGGCAAACAGAGCAGAACAGCUCACAGUCGUCUCUGAUCGAAAGAAAAAGGGUAGGAGGUAAAAGCCGAGGUCCCGAGGGGGUACGGUGAAGUGCUUGGGAAUACCUGGGGUGAAAGGAAAAGGAAGACUCGAAUCCCGGUAUCCUCAUGCUGUUCUAUUCCUUCUGUUUGUGCCAAAUCCCACUUUGAAAAUUCGCUUUGGUUGUGUUCACUUAACGUUAAAAUUAGAUUAGUCAUUUCAAAAUCUGACGUGCGCUUGCUGUCUACAUUUUCAAAGCAAAUUAGUAACUGCAAUGGAAUUAUUCUGGAUUUGGGAGUGUGUAAAUGAAACUGGAUUAACUCUCCUUGCCUCAGUGUACCUAUUUGUGAUAUGAUGUUAAGUAAAUACUUUAAUGCUGGUGUGAAGUCAGGCUUAAUUUAUUAAUGUCUUCCCUAAUCAACAUUUAAAGAUCCUUCCUCAGAAAGAGGAUUAUUAUUAACAAUAAUAUUAUUCUACUAGUGUUGAUUUUAGCUAAAUUCAUAUGAAUAGGCGAUUAGUACCUUUAAGCCAAAAAUUUAUUAGCAGAGGCUGACGGCAGCCUGACCAGCAUCAGGUUGCUGAUAACAGCUAGGCUAGACGCUGGGGCCAGUUACACAGAAGGCAUGUGCUUGUUUCUGCAGGCAAAUAGUCAAGGAGUUAAUAAGGAAACAACAUCUAAAAUGACUUGCGCUGUAUAUUCAUUUUCCCUUAGCUUAGUUGAAAACAGAUCAACCUAUUUACAAUUCAGAGUUGAAUUUGAGGGCUUAGAACCUAUUUUUCUGUUAACAUAAUGAAAAAUAAAUACAAAGUUGUUUUCUUUUUUCCAAUGGCCUUUAAAGUUAAGGUUUGUUUAUACACUGUAUGUUUCCCAAGGACAGAAUUAAAAAAAAUUUUCACUCCUCAUCUUUGUAUAAGAUAUCUUCAUAUCUUUUCCCAUGAAAAUAAUUCAUGUCGCUGAGAAAAAAAUCUUCUAUGAAUCACUGAUGAGUCUUUGAUGCUUAAUGUGCUGUCCAGCAUGUGCAUGGAGUUCUCUUGAAAUUUAGUUUAACAAGAGAAUCUGAUUUUCUUCCUAACAUCAUUAAAGUUUCCCCUUCAAAUUUCACUUAACAAGCAAAUGAAUGUUCUCCUAGCAUAAUUAUAGUUUCUUUUUUGAAUUUCAUUAAAAAAAAGUCAUCCAUUCUGUGUUUUUACACAAGAAGGAACCAAGUCAGCUGAACCAUGCUGUGAAUUAUUCCAAAUAUGGCCUGUAACAUGGUUUAAAACAUAAGCAUGGCAGGGCUCUCAGGGAGAGACAGCCUUCCCGGUGCUCAGGGAAACCGCGGCAGAAACAGGCAUACGUGGAGCUGGCUGCUUUCGGAACAACUCUGUAUAGAAAGCCAUAUUCUGCUAAGUUAGCUUGCAUGUACAUCUGUUCAGAAUUUGAAUGGUUGCUUUUUGGAAAGUCUUUGUCACGGCCAGCGAGCCUUUGACCGUAGGGAGGUUUUGGCAUGGUGCGCGUUUGCACCCAUCGUGCAGUGACUGCACAGCAAAUGGUCACACACUGAUGCAGAUCGGCCUCUGCCCACUGACAGCCCCGUGCUUAUGCCAGUUUAUAUCAACUUAAGCACCUGACCAAACUGGGGAAAUUCUUAGCGUACCGUAGGGGAUGCCCAGCAAUCACAAACACAUCAGCAAAACCGUAGGAUUGGUGAAAACACAGGUGGUGAAAUGUUGUGCGGUCCAAAAUGUGAGCGGCUGUAGUGCAGUCACGGCGUGGCGCGUGCCGGGAGGGGUGUCUGCCCUGGGGAGGGGAUCUUCCCUUGUGUUCAAGCACAACAGAGAAUUUUGCACUGCAUAGUUAAUCUUCAUCAAAUGUCACCUGAUCUUUUGAUACACUGGAAGUCCCAACCUAUUGUUUUUUAAAGACUCAAUCAAAAAUGAGCAGCAAACCUCUGGGAACAGGAGCAGAAGGAGGCUCUAGGGCCUCCCCAAACAGCUCUCGCCCACAUUUGAAAACUGCCGGUGUUGAAGCUCAGAUUUGGCAGCACGAACCGGGGCAGCGUUUUAGGGCUCUGAGAAGGUCCCUGUACGGAAGUGCCGGGUUUGUCACCUCUGCUCCAUUUCUCCCUCAGUUAUUUUCCUCCAGAGAGGCUGAUCCGGCCCCGGCCUCCACUGUCGCAGGGAGGCGGGAGGGAGAUUUUCCUGCUCAGACCUGACAAAUGAGCCGGGAAGCACAAGGUCUGACUGCCACUGUCUGCGCGUGUGUACCUACAUAUGUUGCAGCAGACGUUAUUACUCUGAUUAUUUUCCCCAUGUCAAGUUCUUGCUUGUUUAUUAUUUUCCCAGCCCCUCAUACCUUUCUGCAUUGCUGGCGGUUUCUCUCCAUCGUGUUUAAGCCCCUGCUUUUCUGUUUUUUUCUGCUGCGAGUUUGCAAAUCAUUUUCCUUCAGAAUAAAUGGCAUAUAUCCCUAACAUCUGAACUGGCAGAACGUGAAUAAUUAGAGUCGAGUGCAAGUAAUUUUUGAGUCAAGGCCUUAGUGUGUCAUGGGUUGUAAAAUUUAAUCUGCCAGCAGCUCCUGGCCUCGUAUCAAUUACAUACAGUAAAAUGAGGGAAAGUGUCCCAUAUUUCUGUGCAGUUAUGGGAAAUGCCAUGCUUGCGUUUUAACAUCACAUAUUAUCUCUGUUCUUAUCUGUAUUGCUAGGUCAUUUAGCCAGAAGUGGUAGGAAUUGUUUCUGUUACACGCGAGUGUGGAGUUGUUUUUUUUAAAAGCACCCAAGAGGGCUUCCUCUUCCUCCUCCGGGCCUGUGUGCAUCCAGCGUUUAUUUUUGUACUCCUUUGUUACUGGUAAUGGGAACUGCAGGCAGGUAGAGACCUAACCCCCACGUGCAGAGCUCCCAGGUCCCAGAGCAGCGAUUCUGUCCCGUUUGCUGCUUGGACAACUGGACGCUAAGUCAUUACCAGUGAGCAAAUUACUGGAAGGUGCAGUCAGCAGUUCCAGUGAAGGCAAUGGGCAGUGACGUGGUCAUCCUUGACUUGUAUCCUGCUUUUUUGAAGGUGUGAUGCAAUCCAGACGGAGAGAUCAAACAUCAGAACUGGAGGCAGAUGAAAUAGGUGAUGUGAUCCAACUGGCAACGCACUGCGGGAAGACAGUACCGGGUUUCCAGCUCCAGAUCGUGUUGCCAUGCAGCAAAAUAACCCAGUGGCUCCAGGCAUCUCUCCAGGCUGGAUCUGCUCCUGCCCCAGCCUGGGUUUUUGGACGAGCCCUGGGCUCAGAGUGCAGCGUUGGAGUACGGCCAUCGUGUACAGCUGCGUGAGCAAGGCAAGAAAGAUUCAUUUGGGAUGCAGCUGUUCUCAUUAUUGUUGAUCAUCUGGACUCACAAGCCCUCGUGAGCGUGUGGUGGUACUCGCCAAAGCCGCAGGCAGCCUCGCGUCGUGCCUCGCCGGUCUGGGGGAGCUGCUGCCUGCUGCUCCCCCCGGCCCCCCCGGAGCCGGCACGCGGCUCACGUCGCCCACCUCCGCUGUCACCGCUUCCCGCGUUUCGGGUAGGAAACUUCUCUUCCUCUACGUCAUAGAGCAGCGUGGUUCCCGCUACCAAUAUACACGUAAUCCUGGAGUUUAGGUUUGCUCAAACGCCUGUUUAAAUGAGGAGACAUAAUCUUCCAUGAACUUCAGUGAACUUUGGAUCUUUCACUGUUGUAUCCGUAUUGAUUUCCUUUUUUCUUUCAUACCUUUUUCUUCAUACCCUCGCGUGGGUGUCUCUGGAAACCGCAGGAGUUACAGGAGUUGCUGGGGAUGUAGUAAAUGCUCAGUACAGACCUAACUCUGCUCCCACUGAAGUCAGCGGGAUUUUUAAUGUUAAUUGUUGAUAUUGGUGAGAAUGCCAACAUGGAGCACAGUCAGAGGCUAGGUGCUGUCUUCACACGUGACAGAGUCUGUGUGGGUUUGAAGGACUGCUCCCCAGCAUACAAACCCUGAAUUUUCAAGCAUUCGGCAAAAUUCUUUACGUUUCCCACUGGUUUAGUCGGGAACAGAACUUUGCUGAUCAUGACAAAGGAUGAGCCGAAUCCCUAGACUUUGCUCUUCUCCAAUCCUCUGUGACCCAGAGUAUGAAAAUUAAACUAAUUGCAGCACUCGCAAGCGUACUGUGGGACUCCUGCCUGCACGUGCCCCCCGGGGAAGAGUGGGACAGCUGGAGAGGUCUUUUCCCUGCUCUAAUUUCAGUGAUUUUUUUUGAUUCACUUUGCUCUGCUGUGGGAAGAAAAAGGAAAAGGCAAAGCACCUGGACAAAUUGUUUCUGGCCCUGGAUACUAAUGGAAAGAAAAAUGUCAGAGUAGAUGAAAACGAGGUCGUUCUUGCUGAAGGAGGGCAGCAGAUGAGAUCAGAGCAGAGCCGCCAGCUCUGCCUGGCCCUUCGUUAGCGGCGCGAGAACGGCCAGGCUAAUAGGAAAGGCCACGAGUGGCAGCACUCGACAAACUGGGAUACACUCCGCAGAGGAAAAACCACCCUCUCCUCCCUGGGGAAAUCCUGGCUUGUUUUUCCUUGUAGCCAAGAAGUGGAAAAAUCAGAAGCUUCCAGCCAGCUCCCCGGCCAGGUUUUUAUGUUACAUUGCUGCCCAGUCUGCAGACAUCCCAUUUCAGCGCUGUGCCGGCUGCCAGUUUGGCUCUGGCAGCACGUCCACGCGAGACUCGGGCGCAGAUCGGAUGGUGAUGACGGUGUCAGUGUGCUUGUAGCUCCUGGGACUCCUUGCCUGCGUUAUGGAGAAAAUAAUUGUAGCAGCUAGCAAUAAAUAAUGAGGAUGAAACUUAAACUGCCAGCAGUUCGCAGAGAAGGGCAAGGGAGCAGGACGUGGCCACUCACCUGCCUCUGACGGACAGAGCUGGAUCCCAGCAGCCGAUGCCCAAGAUAAAGGAAUUAUCUGAAGUCACGGUGCUUUUCUGCAACCUCAUGUUUCCUUAUGUGUCUCUCCAGUUAAUUAGUUAUGCUCUUCUCCCAGUUAAUUAGCUCAAAGAAAAACAGCCCUUUGUACUUAGCCUUAUAAAUUACAAUCUUUUACUGUCUUAUAUUUUAUAAGAGAUGACACUUCCUGCAUUUUCUUUGCAGGAUCACAUUUACAAUUCUUACAGGUUUGGAAAGAAACUCACUUUGCCAUGCUGCCUAGCAUGGCGGUGGGGAAAGGCAUGUCAAAGUUACCUGCUUUCCGUUCAAAAAUAAUCAGAGGGACUGGGAGAAAAAUUUGUGAGGAUCAAAGAAGAUGAACGCUGUUUAGAAAAAGACUAAGUAAUGAAAAAGGUUACUGAAAAAAAUGCAUGCAAGCAGCAAAAAGAACUUCAGAUGUUCCUGAGAUCGCAUCUGAAAAGAACUGGCCAGUGGUCCCGUAGCAAGCUGUAGGAUGACAGCAAGUUGCUACAGUCCUUUUUAUGGUUGCAAUCACAUGCAAAAAGCUCAGAUGCAUCUUCUUAAAAUAAAUCAACAAAGGGGAUUGCUGCUUUUGGCCCGCUGCUGGGCAAGCGGGAACCACGAAGCCAAGUCAGGUUGGCAGCAAGUCUCCCCAGCUCGAGGCAGCGCAGCUCGCCCGAGACGGGGUGCAGGCGGUCGCCCUGCUCGUGCCUGGCCUCCGCUGAACAGCAGAUGGGAGGCCGGCCCCGUGCGGGACGUGUCCCGUGGGAGCAUCGUGCCAGGGCCCCGGGCCUGACGCCCUCCUCCUUGCCCGGGCUGGCGGGUGCGGGCAGCGCUGGGAAGAGGCUCUGCAGCGGCAGCCAUUGCUGCCCGUCGGCUCUGCUCCCUGCCCCGCGCGCAGGAAGGGGUGCGAUGUUGUGUCUUUCGAUUUUGCGAGUUUAAGAGAAAAAGAUGAAGUAGUUGCCAGUGACAGCAGCAAGAAAUACUCAAGGGAAUCUAAUGAUUUUUGAACGGUAAACAACAGUAAGUUAUCAGCAUUAACAUUUGCAGCAAGAGAAUGCAGAGCGUGAGAUCAAUCCCCUGCAGUCGAUGGUGUUUAUUCCUGAUUUACGCCGGGGCCCAGCUGCCCGCAGCCGAGUGCGUUGCGCCGGCCUCGCCGUCCGUCCAUCCGUCCGCCCGCCAGCGCUGGCUGCUGCGGCCGAGCCGUGUGCGGCAUGCCCGCUUGCAUGCAGAUCCCGCUGGGCUGGCAGUGCGUCGCGGAGGACGUGCUCGCUGCCGCGGGUAACGGCACACGUGCUUUCUCCUGCGUUCGGACCUUUCCGGCUCGUUUUGCAGAAGGGACACUGGUUUCCUCGAACAGCGCUCAGGACGCCGCUCUUCUCCCCCCUCUGCCGUGACCUUCUCGGAGGCUGCAGUGACGCGUUCGGACAUGGAGUUUGGGCUUGAUCUCUCUGCCCUCCAUGUCACAUCACCUUCAGGGCUUCAGUGCGGGGCAGAGCCGUGUGUCACGCCGGCGCUGACGCCGCUGAGCCGGCCUUGCGCUGCCCUUAGCUGGCCAGAACUGGGCAGGAUCUGCCCAGGAGGGCGACAGCGCAGUGACGGUUUGUCUUCCUGAUCGGUCCACCCCAAAAGUGAAAGAAUAUAGAAAAGGAAUUUAGAUUUGCAGAACCAUUUGCAGAACCAGGUUUCGUACAGGCUAUUUUGUCAUUCAGCACCGGAUUCUGGAACCAGAUAAAAAUCUCACCCUCUUAUUUUUGGAAAUGAGCCUAAACGCCAAAAUCCACACGGGUCCCUCGCACCUAAUUACAGCCUGUAUAAAGCUGUAACGGGUCCCAGCAGUGCCAUAUUAAUAGUAGAGAAUUAUUACAUUGUACAUAGUUUACAUUUAAUCUAGUUGUCUGGGUUAUUGGAGAAAAAGGCUCCAUAAAAGGAAAUCAGCCUGCUGUUGGAUUGAAUUUUUCUGGAUUAUGGAUUGAUUUUUUUAAGUUUAACGCAAGGAGAUGGUUACAUGGUACACUGUGUAUUCUGAGCAUCUAUUUAUUAAAGCUGCAUUGCACUAGAACGUCUGUUCAAAAGUACAACAGCGUCUAAAUGAAUAACACAUUAAUUCCCCACUCUCUGCUAUUUGCUGUUGCUUCCUGUGCCGCUGGAGCCGGCAUGUGCAGCAGGUUAAAAGAAUUCUCAACCUUCUAUUUAAUACAAUCAACUUUGUCAGAUGUUGUUAUUAUUUUCACUGAAUGCUGUAUCCAAGUGAAAUAUUUGCAUAAAAGCCUCAUUGACUCCUU